UACAGAGGGUGCGAGCGUUAAUCGGAAUUACUGGGCGUAAAGCGCACGUAGGCGGCUUUGUAAGUCAGAGGUGAAAGCCUGGAGCUCAACUCCAGAACUGCCUUUGAGACUGCAUCGCUUGAAUCCAGGAGAGGUGAGUGGAAUUCCGAGUGUAGAGGUGAAAUUCGUAGAUAUUCGGAAGAACACCAGUGGCGAAGGCGGCUCACUGGACUGGUAUUGACGCUGAGGUGCGAAAGCGUGGGGAGCAAACAGG
rnacentral:rRNA from 1 species